UACGGGGGGGGCAAGCGUUGUUCGGAAUUACUGGGCGUAAAGGGCUCGUAGGCGGCCAACUAAGUCAGACGUGAAAUCCCUCGGCUUAACCGGGGAACUGCAUCUGAUACUGGAUGGCUUGAGAUUGGGAGAGGGAUGCGGAAUUCCAGGUGUAGCGGUGAAAUGCGUAGAUAUCUGGAGGAACACCGGUGGCGAAGGCGACAUCCUGGACCGGUAUUGACGCUGAGGCGCGAAAGCCAGGGGAGCAAACGGG
rnacentral:rRNA from 1 species